UACGUAGGGUGCAAGCGUUGUCCGGAAUUAUUGGGCGUAAAGAGCUCGUAGGCGGUUUGUUGCGUCGGCUGUGAAAUCCCGAGGCUCAACCUCGGGUCUGCAGUCGAUACGAGCAAACUAGAGUGUUGUAGGGGAGACUGGAAUUCCUGGUGUAGCGGUGAAAUGCGCAGAUAUCAGGAGGAACACCGAUGGCGAAGGCAGGUCUCUGGGCAUUAACUGACGCUGAGGAGCGAAAGCAUGGGGAGCGAACAGG
rnacentral:rRNA from 1 species